UCUUUAUUUCUCAAGAGGAUUUCUUGAGGGAUCAAUUACAAUAAAGGAAAAACUUUAUUUAUACAAGAAAAAUAACCUUGGGUUUGUAACUUUUCCAUAAAUAGGCAUACACAACAUAUGGUAAAGUAGGUAUUCACUAUAUAUGGUAAGGGUCAAACCCAUCGGCAGCCCCCUAAACUUGGCACGAUCUUUCACUUUGGCACCUCAACUGGACGUUGUUCACUUUUGACACCUCACGUAGCCAUAAACUGUGUCAGUUUGGCACCUUUCGACAUCAACACGGGUGCGUGGAUCUCACUCGCCGCCAACAUGGAUAAAAUGUUCAAUUAAUUUGUGCCAACUCAUUUAAAUUGCCACAUCACUAUAUGCACCUAAUUAUUAUUUAUUUUUUUUUGAAAAAAAAGACUAAAAUGCAUGGAAAGGACCAAUAAUAAAAAGACAUUUGUCAUUUUUAUAAAAUAAUUUUUAUAUAA
rnacentral:lncRNA from 1 species